GCAAGAAGUGUUUUCUGGAAUUUUACCUAAUGGGUGCUGACUGGCUGCUUAAAAAGAAAAUUCUUUGGAAAGCGUAUUUCUUCUGUCUUGAGAUGGUGCCUUUUUUGACCUCCACACAUUCAGAAGUCUAGAUGCCUUGUGUAACUCCACCAGUAGGUUCUGCUUUCUUAUCUAAAAUGCCCGUAAGGAUCAAUGGUACAGGAUAGAUUCACUUGCUGCUGUUUAAGCAGAUUGUACAAACAUAAAAUGUAUUGAAGAAACAAUUAGUAAGGAGAGAAAAUGAUUAUUCACUGAAUCACCAGGGUUCUAACUUGGCAAGAAGACAGAACAACCUGGAAGCUCAAAGGAUGCCUACUUUGCCGAGAAAUGUUGUCUGCAACACUGGUGUUGUCUUCAGAUAUAUUAUCACUCACAUCACUGAUGUAAGACUCAUCAUCUGAAGCCUAAAAAGGGAAAGCACACAGAAAGGAUCAGAAUUCUUGUUUCAUCUCAAAAGGUCAAAAAAUCAAAUGAUUAAGAAAAAACUGUUGUCCAAAUAAAUAGCCUGGGUCACAGGGAGAAAUGGGCUUGGCCCACAUGCAAUGAACACUUGAGCGAGAGUGUGUGCCAUCAGCCGGAAUAUAGCACUGCUCGAAAGCAGCCUUUGUUUUUUAUUAACAAAAUGUUUUUUAAUGUUUAUUUAUUUAUUUUGAGAGAGAGAGACAGAAAGAGAGAGAGAAAGAGCAGGGGAGGGGCAGAUAGAGAAUUCCAAGCAGGCUUCCACACUGUCAGUGUGGAGCCUGAUGUGGCGCUUGAACCCACAAGACGUGAGCUGAGUAGAAACCAAGAGUCAUUUAACCAACUGAGCUACCCAGGUGCCCCCAAAGCAGCCUUUCUCUUUAAGUAGCUCCCUGCCUUAGUUGGGGUGAGAGGCUGCGGGAGGCCAGUACAUAAUCAGGUGUAUUUCAGCAUAAUACAAUAAGAACAUGCAAAAAAAAAAAAGGAGAGCUUCUACUCCUCCCUAGA